ensembl:lncRNA
CUCAGUCAUUAAAUGAAAAGGCGUCAUGCCUCAGACUAAAAGGCUUCAGUCAUUGGACAAAACGGCAUCGCGCCUCAGACUGAAAAGCUUCAGGUCUCAGGAAAAAUGACGUCAGGUGUCAGGUCUCAUACAAUUAGGCAUCAGACGAAACGGACUCAGACAAAAAGGCAUCAGACGAAACGGACUCAGACAAAAAGGCAUCAGACGAAACGGACUCAGGAAAAAAAGGCAUCAGACGAAACGGACUCAGGUGGAGUAUCGCGUUGCCCCGCCCCAGGUGACGUCACACGCACGCGGUUCAGAGGAAGUGGUAUAUAACGGUUGAUUGAUGGCAAAAGGAGUUAAGCAGCGUCUGAUAUAUUAUAUUUUAACAGUUUUAUUCAAAUGUUACACUAAUUAAGUUAUAUACGGAAGAGAACAUGCAUUUCGAGAGUCUUGUGUGCACGUUUAAAAUGUUAGUUAGCCAUAUUGCAACUAGCCAGCUUUUAUUUUGGCAAAGUGUAGUAAAAUUACCCUUACGAAAAAUAACCAUGG